rnacentral:sRNA from 1 species
CUGCAUGAACAUCUCCGCGAUGUCCGCGAU